rnacentral:rRNA from 1 species
AUACGGAGGGUGCAAGCGUUAUCCGGAAUCAUUGGGUUUAAAGGGUCCGUAGGCGGACUAUUAAGUCAGAGGUGAAAUCCCACAGCUCAACUGUGGAACUGCCUUUGAUACUGGUAGUCUUGAGUUAUAUGGAAGUAGAUAGAAUGUGUAGUGUAGCGGUGAAAUGCAUAGAUAUUACACAGAAUACCGAUUGCGAAGGCAGUCUACUACGUAUAUACUGACGCUAAGGGACGAAAGCGUGGGGAGCAAACAGGAUUAGAAACCCUAGUAGUCC